rnacentral:rRNA from 1 species
UCCUACGGGAGGCAGCAGUGGGGGAUAUUGCACAAUGGGCGCAAGCCUGAUGCAGCAACGCCGCGUGAGGGACGAAGGCCUUCGGGUUGUAAACCUCUUUUAGCAGGGAAGAAGCGACUGGGUUUUCCUGGGAGUGACGGUACCUGCAGAAAAAGCACCGGCUAACUACGUGCCAGCAGCCGCGGUAAUACGUAGGGUGCAAGCGUUGUCCGGAAUUAUUGGGCGUAAAGAGCUCGUAGGCGGUUUGUCGCGUCUGCUGUGAAACCCCGAGGCUCAACCUCGGGCCUGCAGUGGGUACGGGCAGACUAGAGUGCGGUAGGGGAGAUUGGAAUUCCUGGUGUAGCGGUGGAAUGCGCAGAUAUCAGGAGGAACACCAAUGGCGAAGGCAGAUCUCUGGGCCGUAACUGACGCUGAGGAGCGAAAGCAUGGGGAGCGAACAGGAUUAGAUACCCUGGUAGUCCAUGCCGUAAACGUUGGGAACUAGAUGUGGGGACCAUUCCACGGUCUCCGUGUCGCAGCUAACGCAUUAAGUUCCCCGCCUGGGGAGUACGGCCGCAAGGCUAAAACUCAAAGGAAUUGACGGGGGCCCGCACAAGCGGCGGAGCAUGCGGAUUAAUUCGAUGCAACGCGAAGAACCUUACCAAGGCUUGACAUAUACCGGAAACGGCUGGAAACAGUCGCCCCGCAAGGUCGGUAUACAGGUGGUGCAUGGUUGUCGUCAGCUCGUGUCGUGAGAUGUUGGGUUAAGUCCCGCAACGAGCGCAACCCUCGUCCUAUGUUGCCAGCACGUAAUGGUGGGAACUCAUGGGAUACUGCCGGGGUCAACUCGGAGGAAGGUGGGGAUGACGUCAAAUCAUCAUGCCUCUUAUGUCUUGGGCUUCACGCAUGCUACAAUGGCCGGUACAAAGGGCUGCGAUACCGCAAGGUGGAGCGAAUCCCAAAAAGCCGGUCUCAGUUCGGAUUGAGGUCUGCAACUCGACCUCAUGAAGUCGGAGUCGCUAGUAAUCGCAGAUCAGCAACGCUGCGGUGAAUACGUUCCCGGGCCUUGUACACACCGCC